AGAUCUACGCCCGAGGCAC
rnacentral:misc_RNA from 1 species